rnacentral:rRNA from 1 species
CCUACGGGUGGCAGCAGUGGGGAAUAUUGGGCAAUGGGCGCAAGCCUGACCCAGCAACGCCGCGUGAAGGAAGAAGGCUCUCUGGUUGUAAACUUCUUUUCUCAGGGACGAAGCAUGUGACGGUACCUGAGUCAUACGCCACGGCUAACUACGUGCCAGCAGCCGCGGUAAUACGUAGGUGGCAAGCAUUAACCGGAUUUACUGGGUGUAAAGGGCGUGUAGGCGGGACUGCAAGUCCGAUGUGAAAACCAGGGGCUCAACCUGUGGCCUGCAUUUGAAACUGUAGUUCAUGAGUACGGGAGAGGCAGACGGAAUUCCUAGUGUAGCGGUGAAAUGCGUAGAUAUUAGGAGGAACACCAGUGGCGAAGGCGGUCUGCUGGACAGCAACUGACGCUGAGGCGCGAAAGCGUGGGGAGCAAACAGGAUUAGAUACCCGUGUAGUC